AAUAAUAUUGUCUUUUUCCUUCUUCCUAACAACUAUUCCCUGUGACAUUGUAUGUCGCCACGAUUUUCGGUGUACUCAAAUGAAACACUAAUUAAAAAUAGAAAAACUAAACCUUCCACACCCUUUAUUCCUCCAACCCCAAUUAUUAAAAUGGGUAGGUAAUCAGAGCUAGGGUUCCAAGCAGAAGGAAGAUUUUGAAAGGCUUUGUAGGCUUGAGCACGGUGAUAUUCACUACCCUUUGUUUCCUUUGUGGUUUCCCUCACUCGAUUGUUUUUUUCUUCACAAGAUUCCUCUUGUUGCCGCCAGCGACAACAAAGAGGGCUGGUUCGGACAGGGGAAUGACAUGGAGAGGCAGAGGAUGAAGAAUUGAUGCUUCGGAGUCCGGAGAAGGAAAAUGAAAGUGCUGAGAAUCUGAGAUAGUGGGUGAGGAGCAUGCAAUAAUGGAAGUGCUUAAAUGCACGGAUUUUUGGAUCUUGUUUGUGACCUUUAUGUGUGGGGUUUGGAACAGAUUUGUGCUAGUGUUCCAAUGUACACAAUCAAAAGGCCACUAUUAUGGCCACAAUGGACCAUUAUUAAGGUGGUCCAAUGUAGCUUGGCCCUAAACACUAAGACACCAAUCACAAACCAAUUGAAAGCAACUUUCGAAACUGAAUUGCAUAGUCGCCUCAAGCUGCAGGUUAUUA